CAACUGCUGAGGAGUCCCACAAUAGGACGAAGCAGCCGUCCAGUUC
rnacentral:hammerhead_ribozyme from 1 species